AUCAUGGGUUCUUCUCUUCCUUAUUUAGCCAUGAAUUUUGUCUCCUUCUUUUUCUUCGUGAAUUGCUAUUGUUGAGCAUGGGAGUUGGAAAUUUCUCUCCUCUUAUUUUUCUGUUUUGUUGUGCUGUGUGGUGAGAAGUUCUGAACCCUUUUCCUUCUCUUUGAAGAUCCUGUGCGGGUGUGGGUGUGUUGGUGAAAUUGUGCUGAACCUAUGUGUAUGCAUGAUGAAUGGUUGAAAUUGCAAAUUUUUCUGGAAUUCUUUUGCUGCCCGUGCUGUGUAGGGAAGAAGGAAAUUGAAAUUUAAGCUGGAAAAUUUAUAUUAAAUUUUGUUAAUGAUAUACAUGUACCUGAUUUUUGAGUUAAAUUGAUUUUUUUUAUUUGGAUUGGUUAAUGAUUAAUGAAUUGAUUAGGAUGAGAUUGGGAUAGAAGAAUUUAGAUAUGAAACUUGUAGGUUGGUGACUGUAAGAUAUUUGUUAAAAUACUUGUUAGAAGGAAUUAUUUGAUUGUGUAUUUUCUAAAAAUUUCAUGAAAUUUUAUUGAGAAACAUAAAUGGUUUGGAUGUUGUUAUCUUGUAAAUUGAAAUUGACACUGUAUAAAAAUUUGAUUAUUAAAAUAAUGUGUCACUAGUUGGAUUCUUUGGAAUUAUUGAGUUGAGAAAUUUUGGGUUGAGAUUGUGAAAUUUUUUCUUCUUUCUUUGCUGCCAUGAGGAAUGUGGAUGAUGAGGAUUUGAUUUUCUUGAGUAAAGAUUGAUUUUAUCUAUUGAACAAUGGAAUUUGGAAAACUAAUUAAUUAUAUUUAUGUUAGGGAACUGUUGAGAAAUGGAAUUGAGGAGGAAAAUCAUUUGAUCCAAUUAUUAUGGAAACAAAAUAUAUAUAUUUAUAUAUAUUGAAGUUAAGAAUUGUCUACAUUAUUUUCUGAAUUAAUUUGGAUUGAAAGGUACAAAACAAAUAUUUAAAAUAAAAUAACAAUGGUAUUAUUUGGGCAUAAGGAUUUACAGAGCAAACAUUGUUGCAAGAGGAUCGGUUAGGAGUAAAUUAUUUAUUUGAAAAAUUAUCAAGUAAAUGGAUAGCGUUUCAACUGAUUUAUUAAUAAAAUUAUUUUUUUUUAAAUAAUAUAUUUUUAUGUAAAUUAUUUUAAUAACAACUUUGUUAAACUUGAGAUAUUUUGUAAUUUAAAUCUCUUUAUCUUGUGAAAUUAUUUUUAUUAGCUUUAGCAAUUUCUAGUUUCUCAAUAAUACAAGCAUGAAAAUUAGUUAUGAAAUUUUAUUCUGGCAAGUUUUAAUGCUUAAAAACAAUCCAUGUAAGUUUGACUUUAAGAAUGCAAACUGUCUUUUAAGUUUUAAUAGUGAUGAUUUUUUUUGAAUGUUUAAAAAUGAAUUUGGAGAGAAUUUUAUACAGAACACUGGUUGUUAAUGGCAGUUCCAUUGGCUCUUGGUACACCAUGGUCAAUGACUAGUUAGUUUAAUUCUCGUGAGCUCUGUUCUCUUGUCUGUUAUUCGUGAGUCUCGUACUUGCAUCUGUUUCGUGACUUCGACCACGUUUGGUUAGCUACCCUCAUGGACUGUGUGUCCACAUAUAUUUCAUGGCUUCGGUCGCAUCUGGUUACUUACCUUUGUGGAUUGUGUGUCCACAUUUGUUUUCGUGGUAUAAGCCGCGUUUGGUUAUUUAUCUUCGUAGACUGUGUGUCCACGUCUGUUAAUUAUUCUGACAAGUCCCUAUAAUCAUAAAUUAGAUUAUUUGGUGAUUUCUCAGUUUUUUAAAGUAAUUUAUUUAUAAUUAUUUAUUUUGUUUAUUUGCUUUCUUGAAAUGAAGUGACAAUAAUAUUUAAUAUGAUUAUUUAAUGGUUCAAAAUUUUAUUUAAAAGUUAUAUAGAGCCAUUUAUUCUGAAGUUUACUAAAAUUUUAUGGAAAUUGUUGUCUCUUUAAUUUAUAUAAUUAUUUUUAGCUUUUCUUUUAUUCAUGUUUAAUUAUUUAUUAUUGGGACAUUAUUCAUUGGAAAUAAUUUUGGUAUGAGAUAGUGUAGCCGACACUGAACUACCUAAUAAGCAUUGAGGAGUCUAUUAUUGAUUAGAAGUGGAAGAGCUCAAGAUUAAGCUUUAUUUUGAUGUAAAGUUUUAAUUAUGAAAUUUAUUUUGUAAACUUAUUUUUAGGUGCUCCACAUAGUUAGUGGCUAGGUUAUUUAUGUUGAUAUAUAUAUUUUGUUUGUUGGUUGGAAUAAGCUUUGCUUCUGACUGAUUUGAUACUUUUGGUUGAAACUUUGUAUUAUAGAAUUUUCGAGAGGUCCUAUUUAUUGGGAAGGUUUUAUCGAAAUUUUUACAAAAUUACUAAAAAUUUUCAUUAAAAAAAAUAUUAAAGGCAUUAAAAAUAUUUCAAUAUAAAUCUAUUUAUGUUUUAUAAAUAAAUAGUAAACAUUAGAUUAAAGUUUCCUUGACCACGGCUUAAGGGAUGCAUGUUUGUACAUAUAUCCUGUGUCAGUCAUGUCUAAUUUUUGGGACAUGACAUUAUCUGGAUUAUUUAUGCUUUACUCUUUAGUUGCUUUUUUUUUUCUUUUCUGGUAAUUCUGCAUUUGGCCUCAUUUUAUUUGGUAAAAUCUGGGCUGGACUUUAAUAGAUGCUUAUGAACUUGUCUCCCGCAGCAUUUAAGACUAUUCAUGAGGCUCCAGUAUUGCCCUGAGUCGGUAAUAUAUGGAAACUCUUGGUAAUUCAUGAGGCUCCAACAAUCUAGGAGUUGCAAUCUGAGUAGGCAUUUGUAAUCCUCUUUUAUCAUUUACUGAUUUAUAUUUAGAUGAGAUUUAUUUAUAAUUCUUCCAAAUAAAUGAUAUAAACGUCUAUUUUUUUCUUCUAACCUUAAGUCAAGUAUAACUGCUUUUUUAACAGUUGAAAACUAACACUUUCCUUUUUCACUUUUGAAUUUUUGGAAAUUGAAAAUGGACAACACCUACCCACUGAGUAGUACUGAUCAAAGCCUGCAACAUCACUUCGGUACUGUCACUCCCACCUUCAAGUUCCAAAUAAGUUUUCCUCUCGUUCUCAUCACAGAGCAAUUCUGUUCAUCUCACUCUUGAAAAUCUGCAAGCCAAGAAUCACCAACUCAACUGCAAGUUCAUCACAGACUACAUUUUUUUUUCUUCUUUGCUUCACCUUUGGGUCGAUCUAUUAGAGGGGGAAAAACACUAAAUGAAGUUACUCUAAUCCUGCACAUGGCUGGGUCAAAAAACAAGAUAUAUACCAGAGCAAGAAAGUUCACAUCUGGUUUGUGAUUGUAUUUUUAUAAUUGAUCUUUCUUAUUUUACUCGAGUAUAAAAAAAUCAUUCUUCUCAUCUUGAUGGUUUUGAAAGAUCCCUCAUUUUUUUUUAAAUGAAAUUUUGAAAUAAUCAUGUGAUGUUGAUAAAAUUUGUGUUUGGUGAAAAUGGUGGAGGUGAAGAACAACCAGUGCAUUAUCAAAUUGAGACUCAGAUAGUCCAUCCUCUCUCGGAAAUACAUUUCAAGCUACAAAAUCUUCCAAAUCUUGUGAUUCUCCAAAUAUGGAACUUAAUGGCCGCAAAUUGAGGAAUGAAGAAUUCAACUCUUUGGCAUCUAUUGAAAGGAUUGAUCUUCAGAAUCGUGGGAUUGAAGGACAAUUUCCAACUUUUCAAUACCUUUAAGAAUUAACCUUGGAAGAAUGUGCAAGAUUGAAAUUUGUUUUCUCUCCUCAGCUCUGUCAAAGUCUUCCAAUGUUAGUUAAGGUAGCCAUAUCUGAUUGUGCGGAAUUGGAGGCAAUUUUUUCAGGCAAUGAAGAGACUGAGAAGGGUCUAUACAUAACUGAAGCCUAUCUGCCAAAAUUGGAAAGUUUGAGAAUCUCUGAUUGCAACAAGCUGAAAUUUAUUUUGUCUUUCAUGAUUAAUGCUGCUACCUUAAUGCUUCCACAACUAAGAACUCUAUCGAUAUUAAAGUCUUCUCAGCUAGAAGAAAUUUUCAGGUGUUCUAAUAUUGAAGAUCAUGAUAUUGAUAGUGAAAUGAAGAUUAUGUUUCCAAACUUGAAAAAUGUAGCACUUCUAUGGCUUCCAAGACUUGUUAAUGUCUGCCAAGUGUUUAAGUUGCAGACAAGGGAAUUUUGCAGAGUUGACGUUUAUGAUUGCCCAAAAUUUAUGCCAAUUCUAGGGGCAACUAUGAUGUGGACUAAAGAUUUUUAAAUGUUGGAGAAGUUGAUAUUCAAAGUCCUAAAGUUGAUCAUGAGUUUGAAGUUAUAGGUGAUGAUGAUGAAGAAGAAACCAAGGACUUGAAAUUGUUAUUGGAACAAGAAAUGCUUGGAGGUCUUGCUCCCACACAAGUUUUGAGCUUCCAAUAUCUGCAUUCCUUAACAAUGAUUGGAUGUAAAAAGUUGAAGUUUUUAUUUUCAGUAAGCACCAUUGUCCAUAACGGCCUUCCCAAGUUAAGUUCCCUAACCUUAUCUAAUUGUGAGGAAUUGGAGGUGAUAUUUGAGCAUAGUAGUAAAGAUGAAGCCAACGUCAGUGAGAAAAUUUUGCUUUCAAGCUUGAGGAACAUAUGGCUUGAAAAUUUGCCUAAUUUGGAUAAUCUUUGUCGAGGAAUCCAGAUUCGAGUUCAACUGAGUGACAUCACCAUAAGAAACUGCCCUAAAUUUCUUGAUUCAAGUUUGGGACCAGUUCUUCAACAGAUGGGAACAGUAUUGGUUUCUACAGAAAGAUCAGAUUUGCAAACUACAGCAGAUGUAGAAGAACGAUUAUCUAUGCAUGAUGAAAAAGGGAUAAUCUUGACGUCAAGAGUAGAAUGUUUGAGGUUGUGGGAUUUGGCCAACCUCUUGUGUGUAUGGGAGGGUCCCAGUUUCAUUAGUUUCCAAAAUCUCUUUUGGCUAAGUGUGAUUAAAUGCAAGAAAUUAAAGUGUCUCUUCCCCAGAGCUGUCAUGAGAGGCCUACCAUGUUUGAAGAUUUUGGAUAUUGCAAAUUGCAAAGAGUUGGAAGAAAUAAUAAUGUCAUCAGAAAGAGAGGAAGAAGAGCCUCUCUUUCCAAAUGCAUCCUCUUCUUCCUUGAUCUGUUUCCCACAACUUGAAUGGCUUAGAGUUGAUGGAUGCGGAUAGUUGAAAUGGCUCUUCCCCUCUACUCAACAUCUUCCACCAUUAGUUGGUUUAGAAAUAAAAGAGUGCUCUCAGCUACAGGGAUUUUUUAAUUCUGAAAUUGAAAUAUUUCACGAGAAAGGGUUCUCCAACAAUGUAAAGUUAAAUAUUUUAAUGUUGUGGAUUGCCCCAUGUUCUCCAAAGCCACGCUCGCUGCUUUUAGGAUGAGCUUGGGUUGGUAUAGACCUGUGUGAGAUUGUGCCUGCGUCCAGUUCUUGUAAUUAUGUAUUAAGGAGUUGCAAUCUGUAAUGUGAUAAUUGGCUUCCAAAUAUUUGUAUAGUUCAUUUUCACAUAAAUUAAGGCACGUUGCAUGCAUUGAUUGACA